rnacentral:rRNA from 1 species
UGCAAGUCGAACGGUGAUCUUGAGAGCUUGCUCUUGGGUGAUCAGUGGCGAACGGGUGAGUAACACGUGAGUAACCUGCCCCAGACUCUGGAAUAACUUCGGGAAACCGGAGCUAAUACUGGAUACGAAACGAAGCUGCAUGGCUAUCGUUUGGAAAGUUUUUCGGUUUGGGAUGGACUCGCGGCCUAUCAGCUUGUUGGUGAGGUAAUGGCUCACCAAGGCGACGACGGGUAGCCGGCCUGAGAGGGCGACCGGCCACACUGGGACUGAGACACGGCCCAGACUCCUACGGGAGGCAGCAGUGGGGAAUAUUGCACAAUGGGCGAAAGCCUGAUGCAGCGACGCCGCGUGAGGGAUGACGGCCUUCGGGUUGUAAACCUCUUUCAGCAGGGAAGAAGCGAAAGUGACGGUACCUGCAGAAGAAGCACCGGCUAACUACGUGCCAGCAGCCGCGGUAAUACGUAGGGUGCGAGCGUUGUCCGGAAUUAUUGGGCGUAAAGAGCUUGUAGGCGGUUUGUCGCGUCUGCCGUGAAAUUUCGAGGCUCAACCUCGAACUUGCGGUGGGUACGGGCAGACUAGAGUGUGGUAGGGGAGACUGGAAUUCCUGGUGUAGCGGUGAAAUGCGCAGAUAUCAGGAGGAACACCGAUGGCGAAGGCAGGUCUCUGGGCCACUACUGACGCUGAGAAGCGAAAGCAUGGGGAGCGAACAGGAUUAGAUACCCUGGUAGUCCAUGCCGUAAACGUUGGGAACUAGGUGUGGGUCUCAUUCCACGAGAUCCGUGCCGCAGCUAACGCAUUAAGUUCCCCGCCUGGGGAGUACGGCCGCAAGGCUAAAACUCAAAGGGAAUUGACGGGGGGCCCGCACAAGCGGCGGAGCAUGCGGAUUAAUUCGAUGCAACGCGAAGAACCUUACCAAGGCUUGACAUAUGCGAGAACGCGGCAGAGAUGUCGUUCUCUUUGGACACUCGUAUACAGGUGGUGCAUGGUUGUCGUCAGCUCGUGUCGUGAGAUGUUGGGGUUAAGUCCCGCAACGAGCGCAACCCUCGUUCUAUGUUGCCAGCACGUGAUGGUGGGGACUCAUAGGA